GUUCAGGCCUAACACAUGCAAGUCGAGGGGUAUAGUUCUUCGGAACUAGAGACCGGCGCACGGGUGCGUAACGCGUAUGCAAUCUACCUUUCACAGAGGGAUAGCCCAGAGAAAUUUGGAUUAAUACCUCAUAGUAUAGUUUAAUCGCAUGGUUUAACUAUUAAAGUCACAACGGUGAAAGAUGAGCAUGCGUCCCAUUAGCUAGUUGGUAAGGUAACGGCUUACCAAGGCUACGAUGGGUAGGGGUCCUGAGAGGGAGAUCCCCCACACUGGUACUGAGACACGGACCAGACUCCUACGGGAGGCAGCAGUGAGGAAUAUUGGUCAAUGGACGCAAGUCUGAACCAGCCAUGCCGCGUGCAGGAUGACGGUCCUAUGGAUUGUAAACUGCUUUUGUACGAGAAGAAACACUAGUUCGUGAACUAGCUUGACGGUAUCGUAAGAAUAAGGAUCGGCUAACUCCGUGCCAGCAGCCGCGGUAAUACGGAGGAUCCAAGCGUUAUCCGGAAUCAUUGGGUUUAAAGGGUCCGUAGGCGGUUUAGUAAGUCAGUGGUGAAAGCCCAUCGCUCAACGGUGGAACGGCCAUUGAUACUGCU
rnacentral:rRNA from 1 species